UAGACAAGACCAAGUUUCCAUGCAGCGAGGUCACUGAAGGUGGCAACCGCUGACUCUGGGGAAGUGGGGAAGGGAGUCCACCUGAGGUGACACAAGUAGACUCCUGGAGACACUGAUCCGGGGAAGGCACCGCCGACCUUAGGUAAGUGGGGAACGGAAGACAUCCGGAGCGAGCGGAUGGAUUCCUGGAUUCAUAAACUUGGGGAAGGUUGUGGUUGAGGCUGACCUUGUGUAAGUGGGGAAGGGGAGACAUCCGGGAGCGAGCGGAUGGAUUCCUGGAUACAUGAACCUGGGGAAGGCAUGAAUACAUGCAGUUGAGGCUGACCUUGUGUAAGUGGGGAAGGGGAGACAUCCGGCGGUAGACGGAUGGAUUCCUGGAUACAUGAUCCUAAGGAAAGCAAGAAUACCGCUGACUCUGAGGAAGUGGGGAAGGGAGUCCACUCAGGUGACACAAG